rnacentral:rRNA from 1 species
UACGUAGGGCGCAAGCGUUGUCCGGAUUCACUGGGCGUAAAGGGUGUGUAGGUGGCGCGCUAAGUCGGGUGUGAAAUUUCGGAGCUUAACUCCGAAACUGCAUUCGAUACUGGCGUGCUUGAGGACUGGAGAGGAGACUGGAAUUUACGGUGUAGCGGUGAAAUGCGUAGAUAUCGUAAGGAAGACCAGUGGCGAAGGCGGGUCUCUGGACAGUUCCUGACGCUGAGGCACGAAGGCCAGGGGAGCAAACGGG